CUUCUGUAGAUAACUCCACGUGUGGAAAACGAGUGGGAAAUUAUAUCAUUUUGAUCUGAUCUUGUUGACCCAGGAGAAGAAAGUCUUAAGAGUUCCUCCUGUGUCCAAUGAUUGCAAAAACCAAGUGAAGAACUCAGCCCCUUCUAAUUGCAGAAAACAGGGGAUGGGAAAACUAAGCCUUCACAGCCAUAUUUGGCAGAAGCUCUGGAAUGGGAUUCCUAUUAGAGGAGAAAGUAGGAAGUAA
rnacentral:lncRNA from 1 species